rnacentral:piRNA from 1 species
UCUUUCGCAACUGUUUUCUAU